GGCAGUUGGGAGCCAUACCAACUGUGGGGUUACCUGGUGAUUCCUGGUUGCCUUUUAUUAGGGAAGGAAGAAGCUGGUUUCUCUCUUGGACUUUGGAGAAUCAAGCUGGAGGCGGCCUGGUGACUUUGAAGGCUGUAUGGGACAACUUAACAGUAAAAAAAUAAGAUCUCCAAGGAGUGGAGCACACCACCUUUAUUCUUUGGACAGCUCUCCAUGGAAGGAAGUUUGCCCUGACCUUCAGCCUGAAUGUACUUCCCUACAACUUCCCCCCAGUCUCUGGGACCAAGCAGGACAAAUAUAAGCCCUCUUCCUGUGAUAAUCUUGAAGGUGUUAAGCUACAAACUACAGAAAUGGAAAGCCUGGACCAAAAUGUACUCUGGGGCAAAACCAGAGAAGAGAGGGAGAAGGAAAACAAGUGUACAGAUUCUGAGGAAAUGGAGGUCUCCUUCACUCAGCUUUCCAAAGCAAGCAGGACCAAAGAGACAGAAGUAACAAGAUGGGAGAGCCCUAAGGGAUGCUGCAGUCUGCUCAAACUGGCUUGGAAGAGCUGAUUAUUAAACUUUUAGUGCAAACACAUCUAAAAAUUCAGCAAAUGCUGCAAAUUGAGGCUCAAUGAUUUGUUUUAUUGAUAGAAUUUCAGAAAGUAAUGGAGAAAAUGUCAAUAUAUUAAACGGAUACCAUGUAUACAUUUCUUGAGAAUCAAUUGUUAAACUUUAUCAGCAUGCCACUCUGCACAAUUAAAUACUCCUUGAGCAAAUUGAGGGAC
rnacentral:lncRNA from 1 species